rnacentral:rRNA from 1 species
UGCAACUCGCCUACACGAAGCUGGAAUCGCUAGUAAUCGCGGAUCAGCACGCCGCGGUGAAUACGUUCCCGGGCCUUGUACGCACCGCCCGUCACACCAUGAGAGUCUGUAACACCCAAAGCCGGUGGGAUAACCUUUAUAGGAGUCAGCCGUNUAAGGUAGGACAGAUGAUUAGGGUGAAGUCGUAACAAGGUAUC